rnacentral:rRNA from 1 species
GACGGAGGGCGCAAGCGUUGUUCGGAAUUACUGGGCGUAAAGCGCGGGCAGGCGGUUUGUUAAGUCGCUUGUGAAAAUCCGGGGCUCAACCCCGGAAAUGCAUGCGAUACUGGCAGGCUGGAGACUGGUAGAGGCUAGCGGAAUUCCUGGUGUAGCGGUGGAAUGCGUAGAUAUCAGGAAGAACACCUGUGGCGAAGGCGGCUAGCUGGGCCAGUUCUGACGCUCAUUCCGCGAAAGCGUGGGGAGCAAACAGG